rnacentral:rRNA from 1 species
GAUGAACGCUGGCGGCGUGCCUAAUACAUGCCAGUCGAGCGAACAGAUGAGGAGCUUGCUCCUCUGACGUUAGCGGCGGACGGGUGAGUAACACGUGGAUAACCUACCUAUAAGACUGGGAUAACUUCGGGAAACCGGAGCUAAUACCGGAUAAUAUAUUGAACCGCAUGGUUCAAUAGUGAAAGACGGUUUUGCUGUCACUUAUAGAUGGAUCCGCGCCGCAUUAGCUAGUUGGUAAGGUAACGGCUUACCAAGGCAACGAUGCGUAGCCGACCUGAGAGGGUGAUUGGCCACACUGGAACUGAGACACGGUCCAGACUCCUACGGGAGGCAGCAGUAGGGAAUCUUCCGCAAUGGGCGAAAGCCUGACGGAGCAACGCCGCGUGAGUGAUGAAGGUCUUCGGAUCGUAAAACUCUGUUAUUAGGGAAGAACAAAUGUGUAAGUAACUAUGCACGUCUUGACGGUACCUAAUCAGAAAGCCACGGCUAACUACGUG